UCUGCAUUUCUGGUUGCGUUUUGUGAUGGUACCAAUUCUGGCCCAUACAGUCACGUAGCUGACUUCUCCGCCAUCAAAGAGCUUGACGCAAUCACUAAAGAUAUCGACGACAUGAAAAAGGAGAAGCUUCUAUUGGAGAAAGAGAAGUCACAACGGGAUGCUGACAUCAAGAUCAAGAAUGGAGAAGUGCAAGCUUUACAGAAGGACCUUGAUGCCAUCACAGCUACUCUGCAUCAGUUGGAAAACCAGAAGAGAGAAGCACAGAAGCGCUUAGAUGAGCUUGAC
rnacentral:lncRNA from 1 species